GAUGAAGAACGCAGCGAAAUGCGAUACGUAAUGUGAAUUGCAGAAUUCAGUGAAUCAUCGAAUCUUUGAACGCAUAUUGCGCUCUCUGGUAUUCCGGAGAGCAUGCUCGUUUGAGUAUCAGUAAACACCUCAACUUCCAUAUCUUUUUUUGAAAUGGGAGUUGGACUUGAGUGAUCCCAACGCUUUUCCUCACCGAAAAGUGGCGGGUUACUUGAAAUGCAGGUGCAGCUGGACUUUUCUCUGAGCUAUAAGCAUAUCUAUUUAGUCUGCCUAAAAAACAGAUUAUUACCUUUGCUGCAGCUAACAUAAAGGAGAUUAGUUCUUGUGCUGACUGAUGCAGGAUUCACAAAGACAGCUUCGGCCGACUUUGUAAACUCGAUCUCAAAUCAAGUAAGACUACCCGCUGAACUUAAGCAUAUCAAUAAGCGGAGGA
rnacentral:misc_RNA from 1 species